UACGUAGGGGGCAAGCGUUAUCCGGAUUUACUGGGUGUAAAGGGAGCGUAGACGGAAUUGCAAGUCUGAUGUGAAAAUCCGGGGCCCAACCCCGGAACUGCAUUGGAAACUGUAUUUCUAGAGUGUCAGAGAGGCAAGUGGAAUUCCUGGUGUAGCGGUGAAAUGCGUAGAUAUCAGGAGGAACACCAGUGGCGAAGGCGGCUUGCUGGACGAUGACUGACGUUGAGGCUCGAAAGCGUGGGUAGCAAACAGG
rnacentral:rRNA from 1 species